rnacentral:rRNA from 1 species
UACAGAGACUGCAAGCGUUAUUCGGAUUCACUGGGCGUAAAGGGUGCGCAGGUGGCCAAGUGUGUUAGGCGUGAAAGCCCGGGGCUCAACCCCGGGAGGCGGGCGGAUACUGUCGGGCUAGAGUCCGGAAGAGGCAAGUGGAAUUCCUGGUGUAGCGGUGAAAUGCGCAGAUAUCAGGAGGAACACCGAUGGCGAAGGCAGCUUGCUGGGACGGUACUGACGCUGAGACGCGAAAGCUAGGGGAGCGAACGGG